UGCAUCGGCCGAGAAUCGAACACGGGCCGGCCGCGUGGCAGGCGAGCAUUCUACCACUGAACCACCGAUGG
rnacentral:tRNA from 1 species